GGCUAUUAGAAUUUAUUCCGAAAACUUGGGGCCGGGGGAAUAAAAUCAAUAACGGGACGAAUUCAGGCCACAAGUUGACAAUCCCUAAAAUAUUGUGAUUGUCAUGCAGCUACUUGUCGAAUAGGUGGUGUAUGGCUACACUGGCCUAAUAGAAUUACAGACAUUUGCUCAAUAUUUGGCAAGCACCAAAAAACAAUCACACAUUUUCAAUCAAUAUGGUAUAAGAGAUAUUAGAGUAUUUAAUGCAUAGUAAGUGUCUGUGAAUUAGAAUAUCACGUGUAUACAGUUUUUAUUUCACUUGUGAUCAAUAAGAGAACAGAGAAAACAGAGAAAUUACAACCAUUUAAUUAAAUUGGCAUGUUUAUAUCAAUCAUAACACAGAUACAGCUACAAAAAAAGGAGAAAUACUGUACAUAAAAUCCUAAAACCACAUGUAUAUCUUGCUACAGCUGCUAUGUUCACUUGAAAGAUUAAGUGAAAUUACAGUCAUGUUUAUCAGUAUCCCCAAAAGGAUAAGCUACAACCAGUAUGUUUAACACUGUAAUGCAUUUCAUGUUAUUAGCUUGGCUAAAAACACAUGAACCAUCCCCAUUCCUCACAACGUACCAUUACAUACUGCAUAGAAAUUAUGGAAAAAAAACUUAGUUUCACAGCAGCUAUAUCAAAUGUUAUUGCAAUGCCAUCACCGAACAGAGUCAAACAACAUUUAACAUAAUGCACAGCUUAAACAGUCACCACCUUCCUACCCAUUAUAAACAAAAAUCAAACAAGUAUUAUUGUGUAUAAACCCCUCCAACCCUUCCCCAUACAAUACAGGUUAAAUAAACUGUCCCUCAUAAAGCCUAUGGAAUGUUAGUGUCAGACAAGCUCUCCCAGUUGAAUAACAAAUUCCUGAUAUUGGCAUGAUUGCAUGUCAUUGCUGCAAACCUGCCCCCCCUCCCUCUGACAAGUGCCCCAGACUACAAAAGAAAAGGGAAACACACAAUGACCAUAACUUUUCUUCCAGAGGUGUAAAAAAAGGGGAAAAGGAAAAAAAGUGUUUCUACAAUCUUACUACUACACAACCUGCCUUUUCUUAAGAAAAUAGUUGAUAAAAAUAUUCCUCUGCAUUGUACAAGAAAGGAGGUACGGGGAGCACUGGCAAAAGUGUAAGCAUAUUAUUCUGCCUCAUCCUCCUCUUUCUCAGGCUCAUCUGCAUCAGCAUCUGCCACUUCUGCUGCCUCCUGGAGGAUGAAAAAAAAUAACAUUCUCAUAUUAUAGGAUAGUUUUUAGGUCUUGUUGGUUAUACAAUAUUUUUGUGUGUGGGGGACAAACAGCUGUCAAUGCCAAUUAUAAUAGUUGGCCUGUUUGUAAUACCUAAUACUCCUGAUUUUGAAUGCUGUAUAUAUCAGUGGCAUGGCGUAUCGUAUAAUUGAAACUAAACCAACAAGUCUUACCUCCUCAUCUUUGGUCUCUCCGUUUUCUGCCAGUGCUGCUUUUUCCUCAGGAGCUUCUUUCUUCUCCUCAGGCUUGACCUUCUCUACUACCUCCUUUACUUUUUUGGGCUUGGCUGCUGCCUUGACUGGUGUCUACAAGAAACAGACAAACAUGAUAUACAUGUCAAUAUAAAAAUGCAUAGUACGCAUAAUAAUUGGGUGCUUUUUGGUUUCAGCAAAAGCUGACAAUUACAACAUUUGUUUUUACCUUUGUCUUAGGCUCUGGUUUAGCCGGAGUAGUGGGUUUCUGCAAAAUAAUGAAUAUUUGAUAAUUAGUCCAAUUACAAAUAGACAAUAGCAUCUAUUAAUCGAAAACAUCAUAAAUAGGCUAUACAACAUAUAAAUAUUAUGAUAUAUAGUAAACUUACGGAUGACAACCUUGUGGAUCGCCUUUUUGGCUGGUGAGAAAAACAAAAAAGUUAAAUCAGUUAUUGCAGAAAAAUAAUUUAUUUAUAAUGGACAAAUAUAACAGCAUCAAAUACUAACCUCGACUUCAGUGUCAUUACUUGCCUGUGGGGGUGGGGAGAGAGAGAAAAUAAAAUGUUAGUAUAAACCAAGAACAACAAUCCCACAUUCAUGGAUCGGGAGCGGCCGGGAGAAGUGGGAGUGUAAUGCUUGGGGAGGGGGAUGGGCUCACAUGCUGUACCCCCGCCGCUCCACCCCCAAAUUAACGAGGAAUUAUGUAAUCUGAAACUGGGUGGGGGAGGGGAGGCUAACGUAUUUACAUUACUAUGCCAUUUGACUUUUCCCAUUGUCAUGAUGCAAAAAUAGAGCCUUUGUGGUACCAGUUACUGGGAGAGCGACAAGUAAAAUAGUAUGUUAUAGUCAGGCUUUAGGAGCCUAUACACAUAAAGGCCAAAUGCGCCCCCCCCCCCCAAUCCACCAGCAACACACGGAGAUGUGUUACAUGAAGGCAUCCAUCCACCCGCCAUGUCAACCAGUCUACUGUAUGAUCCCGCCAUUAGUAAUAUCUAUAAUUCCCUGAUCCACCCCUAUACGAUCCCUUAUGCGCUGUCAAUGUUGCAUUAGGAAAGCAAAGACAGGAAAUACGCACGAACAAAUAGCAAAACAUUUUUUUAUUACCGUGACCACCUAUAAUUCAGGUGGUCUUUUUCUUUAAAACUAAUUAUUCUAUGACCCCAUUUAAGUGAUACAUAACGCUGAGUUGUCGAUGCCUUUCGUAUUUGCAAGGGCUGCCAUGACACUCCAAAGACUGUACCUUUCCAUGCCAUAGGGUGUCGCGCAUUACACUACGCUUUACUGCACACAGGACACAAAGUGAUAAUAUACGAUGCCACAAGCAUCUGUUUUUUUUUAGGAUUAAAACGGGGCUAUUAAAAGUAUUUGAAUACAAACGUGAACUUAAUAUGUAGGCGAUUAAAGCACUUCCAAUAUUCACAAAAUAUCCUCUAGUUCAUGCACGCAUUUCUGCAAUGGCAACAUGUAGCUUACUUACAUCUCUGGUGGGUUACACCCCUUUGUCUGAUCUCAUUGCUGAGAAGGCUAUUAAGCUACUUUACAAUAAUGAAAUACCCAAAAUUUGGGUGGAAUUAUAUUAUAUGAUUACGUUACUUAUAUAAAAAGCACAAGCUGCGAUAGUUGAUCAUGUAUGGGUUGUUAAAAGGAGAAAGUGAGAUCGAAUGGAAAAUGUUACCGCACUAAGUAAAAAGGCGCCACUUCCAUUACAACAUGACAGACACACAAAAACAUUCAGACUUUAAAGCAAAAGUGUUACAUUGUAUCAAGCAUAUUUUAGCGUACAUGCAAUUGUUGCAGGUAUUUAUAAAACACUUCCUGUGUUAAAUUAUAUAUUGUAAAAUAAGGUUUAAAUUAAAGGUACACAAUCCAACUUACUUUGCUUCUUUUCGGCAUGGCUGCUUUACUUGUAUUGUCUAGAAAAGAAGAUAACAAAUUAGCCUUCUCAGUUACUGAAAAUUCAGUGAAGGCUUCUGAAAGUGUUCGAUGUAACUCAGUCAGUACCUUCAGAACACACUGUAACUAACAUAAAUGUUCCAUCAGUAGGCCUACGUACAGAAACGAGCUGAAACCGGAUUGGAUCCCC
rnacentral:lncRNA from 1 species